UUUAUGGAGAGUUUGAUCCUGGCUCAGGAUGAACGCUGGCGGCGUGCCUAAUACAUGCAAGUCGAGCGAACAGAUGAGAAGCUUGCUUCUCUGAUGUUAGCGGCGGACGGGUGAGUAACACGUGGGUAACCUACCUAUAAGACUGGGAUAACUCCGGGAAACCGGGGCUAAUACCGGAUAAUAUUUUGAACCGCAUGGUUCAAUAGUGAAAGACGGUUUCGGCUGUCACUUAUAGAUGGACCCGCGCCGUAUUAGCUAGUUGGUAAGGUAACGGCUUACCAAGGCGACGAUACGUAGCCGACCUGAGAGGGUGAUCGGCCACACUGGAACUGAGACACGGUCCAGACUCCUACGGGAGGCAGCAGUAGGGAAUCUUCCGCAAUGGGCGAAAGCCUGACGGAGCAACGCCGCGUGAGUGAUGAAGG
rnacentral:rRNA from 1 species